UACGGAGGGUGCGAGCGUUGUCCGGAAUCACUGGGCGUAAAGGGCGCGUAGGCGGUCUGCUAGGCGUGCGGUGAAAGCCUGGGGCUCAACCCCAGGUCUGCCGUGCGAACUGGUGGACUAGAGCACUGUAGAGGCAGGUGGAAUUUCGGGUGUAGCGGUGGAAUGCGUAGAGAUCCGAAAGAACACCGGUGGCGAAGGCGGCCUGCUGGGCAGUUGCUGACGCUGAGGCGCGACAGCGUGGGGAGCAAACAGG
rnacentral:rRNA from 1 species